CGAAUGGGGAAACCCAGUGUGUUUCGACACACUAUCAUUAACUGAAUCCAUAGGUUAAUGAGGCGAACCGGGGGAACUGAAACAUCUAAGUACCCCGAGGAAAAGAAAUCAACCGAGAUUCCCCCAGUAGCGGCGAGCGAACGGGGAGCAGCCCAGAGCCUGAAUCAGUGUGUGUGUUAGUGGAAGCGUCUGGAAAGGCGCGCGAUACAGGGUGACAGCCCCGUACACAAAAAUGCACAUGCUGUGAGCUCGAUGAGUAGGGCGGGACACGUGGUAUCCUGUCUGAAUAUGGGGGGACCAUCCUCCAAGGCUAAAUACUCCUGACUGACCGAUAGUGAACCAGUACCGUGAGGGAAAGGCGAAAAGAACCCCGGCGAGGGGAGUGAAAAAGAACCUGAAACCGUGUACGUACAAGCAGUGGGAGCACGCUUAGGCGUGUGACUGCGUACCUUUUGUAUAAUGGGUCAGCGACUUAUAUUCUGUAGCAAGGUUAACCGAAUAGGGGAGCCGAAGGGAAACCGAGUCUUAACUGGGCGUUAAGUUGCAGGGUAUAGACCCGAAACCCGGUGAUCUAGCCAUGGGCAGGUUGAAGGUUGGGUAACACUAACUGGAGGACCGAACCGACUAAUGUUGAAAAAUUAGCGGAUGACUUGUGGCUGGGGGUGAAAGGCCAAUCAAACCGGGAGAUAGCUGGUUCUCCCCGAAAGCUAUUUAGGUAGCGCCUCGUGAAUUCAUCUCCGGGGGUAGAGCACUGUUUCGGCAAGGGGGUCAUCCCGACUUACCAACCCGAUGCAAACUGCGAAUACCGGAGAAUGUUAUCACGGGAGACACACGGCGGGUGCUAACGUCCGUCGUGAAGAGGGAAACAACCCAGACCGCCAGCUAAGGUCCCAAAGUCAUGGUUAAGUGGGAAACGAUGUGGGAAGGCCCAGACAGCCAGGAUGUUGGCUUAGAAGCAGCCAUCAUUUAAAGAAAGCGUAAUAGCUCACUGGUCGAGUCGGCCUGCGCGGAAGAUGUAACGGGGCUAAACCAUGCACCGAAGCUGCGGCAGCGACGCUUAUGCGUUGUUGGGUAGGGGAGCGUUCUGUAAGCCUGUGAAGGUGUGCUGUGAGGCAUGCUGGAGGUAUCAGAAGUGCGAAUGCUGACAUAAGUAACGAUAAAGCGGGUGAAAAGCCCGCUCGCCGGAAGACCAAGGGUUCCUGUCCAACGUUAAUCGGGGCAGGGUGAGUCGACCCCUAAGGCGAGGCCGAAAGGCGUAGUCGAUGGGAAACAGGUUAAUAUUCCUGUACUUGGUGUUACUGCGAAGGGGGGACGGAGAAGGCUAUGUUGGCCGGGCGACGGUUGUCCCGGUUUAAGCGUGUAGGCUGGUUUUCCAGGCAAAUCCGGAAAAUCAAGGCUGAGGCGUGAUGACGAGGCACUACGGUGCUGAAGCAACAAAUGCCCUGCUUCCAGGAA
rnacentral:rRNA from 1 species